rnacentral:rRNA from 1 species
CCUACGGGCGGCAGCAGUGGGGAAUAUUGCACAAUGGGCGCAAGCCUGAUGCAGCCAUGCCGCGUGUGUGAAGAAGGCCUUCGGGUUGUAAAGCACUUUCAGCGGGGAGGAAGGCGUUAAGGUUAAUAACCUUGGCGAUUGACGUUACCCGCAGAAGAAGCACCGGCUAACUCCGUGCCAGCAGCCGCGGUAAUACGGAGGGUGCAAGCGUUAGUCGGAAUUACUGGGCGUAAAGCGCACGCAGGCGGUCUGUCAAGUCGGAUGUGAAAUCCCCGGGCUCAACCUGGGAACUGCAUUCGAAACUGGCAGGCUAGAGUCUUGUAGAGGGGGGUAGAAUUUCAGGUGUAGUGGUGAAAUGCGUAGAGAUCUGGAGGAAUACCGGUGGCGAAGGCGGCCCCCUGGACAAAGACUGACGCUCAGGUGCGAAAGCGUGGGGAGCAAACAGGAUUAGAUACCCCUGUAGUC